CGAGCAGCACCUCCGUCUCCGUGCCAUGGUUCAGGGCCUGCGCGGUGAAGUUGCUGCAGCUCUUUAUAUUCUCCUGCCCCUCGAGCAGAGUAUCCAGCUGCGACUGAAGGACCUGUGGGGUCAAAAAGCGAGGCCGGGAUCGUCUACAAGAAUGCCUGGAAUCUUACUUUAUGUUUGAGGCCGUAGUUGACUUCCAGUUCCAUAAGCAGCACGCUCUUGCGCACGUUUAGAGUCUUCUGGAGCUCAUCAAAGGUAGAAUGGAUGUCAUCCACAAUGCUGGCCUUUUGGUUGGUUAACUGAUGAAUGAUUUCUGAGAUGAACUGAAGGGCAGAAUCUAUUUCUGGGAGCCUAGAGGACAGUCGUUAAAGAUCAUUAUUUAGCAUCAACCCAGAAAUAGCAAAACAUCUACCUAAACACUAUGUUUUGUCAAAAAAUAUUUUCUUUGCCUUUCAUUAUCUUUAAAAAGUAAUAACUGAAGAACAGAAUGAAUAAGACAUGACAUAAUUACUGCCUUUGAGAGAAGAGACUCUGAGGGUCCAUGUGUACUUCAAGUGUUCAAGUCAUCUAAUUUUACUAAUUGAUGGUACAAAGCCUUGAGGCUCUCUGAACCCCAUGGCUUCUCCUCAUUCUGAAUCAAGCCUUCUCAAACUUAACACUAUAAUAUUGUAGGUCACAUACUUCUUUGUUACAGGGGACUAGCCUGUGUGUUAUGAGAUGUUUAACAGCAUCCUGGCUUCUACCAGAUGCCAACAGCAGCACCCCCCCCCCCCCAAGUUAUGACACCAAACUGUCUCCAGGCAUUGUCAAAUGUCUCCUGGGGGUAUGCGUAAUUACCCACAAUUGAGAACCAGGUUCUAAAUGUAUAGCUAAUCCUAAUUAGUUUUAUCCUAAUCAUAUGAAAACCUUAUCCAAAUUCAGUUUCCUGAGAACAUUUUUCAAGUUUCCAAGUUCCUUUAAUUAUUAUAGAAUAACCACACUUUUCUCAUUACAACUAUUGGUGACAAGAUUUACUUUCAGCUGGUUGUUUAUUUCCUCUCUUUGGUCUUUCUUUUGUAUCACACAGCUACUCUGUUCCCUCAUUUCCAUGCCAAAGAGAAAGCCUGGAAGCAGGAAAACAUAAGGAAAAUCGAGCAAUCACUGAUCAGUACCAUUUGCUGGGCUCAAACAGAGAGGAGCCAAUGACAGUAAACACAGUGGUCCUGUAUAUGUCAAGAAGAGCAGCUAAGAAAGGCUCCUCAGAGAGCCUGGUUUCAGGCAUGAAUUUCAGAAGAUAUGCUGAGAGCAUUUUCCUGGAAUGCAUUUUAUUCACUUAAUCAUCCUAAGAUGAGAAAGUGAGACACAGAGAGCUUAAUAAACGUGCCAAAGCUGACACAGGAAUAAGUUGAAGAGCAGAGUUUGAACCAGGCAGUUGAAAUCCAAAGCCAGUGCUCUUGUACAAUGCGGCCUCUUCAGGUGUAGUUCUGCUUUAGCGUAUAACCUCUGAUUGCCCGAAGCCUACCCAAAUCAAAGCAGUCAUGCCCCCAGGCCGCGUCUGCAAUCCACUCACUUACAUUUCCAUCGUGGUUUGGGCAAGAGAGAGGCUUUCCGGC